rnacentral:rRNA from 1 species
GACGAACGCUGGCGGCGUGCUUAACACAUGCAAGUCGAACGGUGAAGGGACCGGUUUUUGCUGGUUCUGGAUGAGUGGCGAACGGGUGAGUAACACGUGAGUAACCUGCCCCCUUCUUCUGGAUAACCGCAUGAAAGUGUGGCUAAUACGGGAUAUUCUGCGCCUGCUGCAUGGUGGGUGUGGGAAAGAUAUUGUUUCGGUGGGGGAUGGGCUCGCGGCCUAUCAGCUUGUUGGUGGGGUGAUGGCCUACCAAGGCGGUGACGGGUAGCCGGCCUGAGAGGGUGGACGGUCACACUGGGACUGAGACACUGCCCAGACUCCUACGGGAGGCAGCAGUGGGGAAUAUUGCACAAUGGGCGCAAGCCUGAUGCAGCGACGCCGCGUGAGGGAUGGAGGCCUUCGGGUUGUAAACCUCUUUCGCCAGUGAAGCAGGCCUGUCCCUUUUGUGGGUGGGUUGACGGUAGCUGGAUAAGAAGCGCCGGCUAACUACGUG